AAAAUAUAACUUUAAGUUUUAUUAGGGUAGUAAAUAAUUUUCAAAAAUAGUUAAAAAAAAAUAAGAGUUUGAUCCUGGCUCAGAAUGAACGCUAUUGAUUAGCUUAACACAUGCAAGUCAUUUGAUUUAUGGCGAACGGGUGAGUAUCACAUAAAAAUUAAUCUUAAAAGUUAAGAUAAGUUUAUGUAAGAUUAGGUCGUUGAGUAACUAAUAAUUCUUUCAAGCCUAUGAUCUUUAGCUGGUCUUUGAGGAUAAACAGCCACAUUGGAAUUGAAAUACGGUCCAGACUUUUGAGAGGCAGCAGUGGGGAAUUUUGGGCAAUGAGCGAAAGCUUGAUCUAGCUAAAUCAUAUGUGUGAAGAAAAUUAGUAAUUGUAAAACACUGUUGUUUUAAAAUAAUGAUAAAAUAACAAAAUUAAUAAAGUAGUCCUGGCUAAUUUCGUGCCAGCAGCCGCGGUAAAACGAAAAGGGCAAGCGUUAUUCAAACUUAUUGGGCAUAAAGAAUACGUAGGCAGAGAAUUAAUUACUAUCUAAAACUAAAUUUUUAUUAUUUAAAUUUACGUUAAAGUAAUUCUCUAGAGUUUGAUGAAAAGAUUAUAGAAUUUCAAAUGUAACGGUAAAAUGUGUCGAUAUUUGAAGGAAUCUCAGCAGCGAAAGCAUUAAUCUGGAUCAAUACUGACGCUGAGGUAUGAAAGCAUAGGUAGCGAAAGGGAUUAGAUACCCCUGUAGUCUAUGCCCUCAACUAUGAAUGUUAUUUUUUGGGUUUAUUUACCAAAAAAAAAUUAAUAUGUUAAACAUUCCGCCUGGGUAUUACGAUCGCAAGAUUAAAACUCAAAGGAAUUGACGGGGACCUGCACAAGUAGUGGAGCAUGUGGUUUAAAUUGAUAGUACACAAGAAACCUUACCAAUUUUUGUAUAAUAGUUUUUACACAGGUGUUGCAUGGCUGUCGUCAGUCCGUGCUGUGAAGCGUUUGGUUUAUUCCAAUUAAACGGACGAAACUCUUUUACAUUUUAUUUAUUUUAAUGUAUAUAACUAAAGAUAUUUUAGAAGAAAAAAGAACAACGUCAGGUCCUUAUGACCUUUAUAAAUUGGGCUACUUUCAUGUGCUACAAUAACAUUUUCAAUCAGCAGCGAAAUGUUUAAGUUAUUGCAAAUCUAGUAAAAAGUGUUAUUCAGAUUAUUCUCUGCAACUCGAGAAUAUGAAGUUGGAAUUACUAGUAAUCGUGUAUAAGAAUGUUACGGUGAAUUAGUUUUCAGGUCUUGUACACACCGCCCGUCACGCUAUGGAAAUUUUUUUAUCUGAAGAAGUAUGAUAUUAAUUGUUAUAUUUUUAUGGCAAAAAAUAAACUGAAGUGAAGUCGUAACAAGGUAGCCGUAGGGGAACCUGUGGCUGGAAAAAUAAAUUUACAUUAAUUACUACCC
rnacentral:ncRNA from 1 species